rnacentral:rRNA from 1 species
CACGUAGGGGACGAGCGUUGUCCGGAAUCAUUGGGCGUAAAGAGCGUGUAGGCGGCCCGAUAAGUCCGCUGUGAAAGUCCAGGGCUCAACCCUGGGAUGCCGGUGGAUACUGUCGGGCUCGAGUCCGGAAGAGGAGUGUGGAAUUCCUGGUGUAGCGGUGAAAUGCGCAGAUAUCAGGAGGAAUACCAAUGGCGAAGGCAGCACUCUGGGACGUGACUGACGCUGAGACGCGAAAGCGUGGGGAGCGAACAGG